rnacentral:rRNA from 1 species
UACGGAGGAGGCAAGCGUUAUCCGGAAUUAUUGGGCGUAAAGCGUCCGUAGGUGGCUCUUCAAGUCUGCUGUCAAAGAGUGGGGCUUAACCCUGCAAAGGCAGUGGAAACUGAAAGGCUAGAGAGCCGUAGGGGUAGAGGGAAUUCCCGGUGUAGCAGUGAAAUGCGUAGAGAUCGUAAGGAAGACCAGUGGCGAAGGCGGGUCUCUGGACAGUUCCUGACACUGAGGCACGAAGGCCAGGGGAGCAAACGGG